rnacentral:rRNA from 1 species
UACAUGGGGUGCAAACGUUGCUCGGAAUUAUUGGGCGUAAAGCGCGCGCAGGCGGUCCUUUAAGUCUGAUGUGAAAGCCCACGGCUCAACCGUGGAGGGUCAUUGGAAACUGGGGGACUUGAGUGCAGAAGAGGAAAGCGGAAUUCCACGUGUAGCGGUGAAAUGCGUAGAGAUGUGGAGGAACACCAGUGGCGAAGGCGGCUUUCUGGGCUGGAACUGACGCUGAGGAGCGAAAGCGUGGGUAGCAAACAGG